rnacentral:lncRNA from 1 species
AGGCAAAAUAGAAAAGGCAAAAAAACCGCUGCCGCCGCCUCAGUUACAGGGAGUGACAGGUCCCCCCACCCCCCGCGCCGCCGCCGCGCCCGAGCCCUGCUGUCGGGGCUGCUGUCACCGGAGGAGGACGUGGAGGUGGAGGAGCUGCUCCGCGGGUGACAGUCCUUUGUGUGAAGUGAUGCUGCGGCGGCUGCUGGGGCUGCGAGCAAGCGGCUGGGAGAGAGCGCGAGGGAGAGAGCCCUGGAGGCGGAGUUGCGUGCCUGGAAAUCGCUGGGUGGCCGCGGCGGCGACAGCGUCCUGCGCCUCGCCAGCCUGUUUACCUGUGGUGCCAACUCGGCCCGCGCGUCCUUUCCCCAUGCUGCUGCCGGAGCGGAGCGGGACCCGCGAGUGGGUCCUCCUGGGCGUCCCCGUCCCCGCGCGCCUCCUCCCUCUCUGUCGCCCCGAGUGCUGCAAUGGGAGGACGGGCGGCAAACAGGCUGCAGUCCGAGUGGGCUGCGGAGGCUUACUGGGGAGUGAGAGGUGACGCUUCAGUGAGCAAGGACCUGUAGCCGGCGCAGGAUGCCCAGGCGCCGGUGGGAGGCAGGCAGAGAGGGGCAGGUGGGACCCCGGGCGUGCGGGUCCUCGGUGCAGAAAAGUUUUGGGUGAACCCGUUGCUUGACACUUAAAAGGGAGCAACAUGUUCGCAGGCGACAAGCAGCGAUUAAAACAACAACUUUAUAACGCUCUCUCUCCUUGCAGCGCGCACACACAGUGUGCACUUCAGAUGUGACGCCUCCUCUACUCCAUGCUCCUUUGAUCCUUCGGUCUUCAUGACCCCCGCCUUUUCUUUUACUGAAAUUCCUGCUUCACCAUGACUUUAUGACAUGUGUGGUACUGCUGAUAGGAGCAUAGUUUGAAUAAAAUAUUUGCUGAACGAGGCCAUUUUGUACAAAGUUUAUGGCACUUUGUCAACUAAUGGGUUUUGCAAAAAAUAAAAAUAAAAAGUGAAAU